rnacentral:misc_RNA from 1 species
AGUACAUGGAAGUAAAGUUGGAAGUUCCUCUAAAUUCUGGACAAGGGAGUCCUAGUAAUAAUGAGAUGAAAAAGGAUAUCAUGGAUAAUAACAGCCAAAAGCCUGAUGGUGAAUCUGCUGUACAAGAUGAGUCUACUAGUUUAUCAAAGCAAGAGAGCGUCAAAGUUGAGAAAGAAACUGAUCCAGGAAAGCAAGAAAAUUCUGGACAACCUGCUGAUAAUGCAGCUGGAACCAAGUCUGGA